rnacentral:sRNA from 1 species
GAUGCCAGGGUUAAAAGGUCUAAGCCCGCAUGAGCUCGCUCAUAAGUGGGUGAAAGACCUUGGAACCCGCCCCGAUAUGAGCAUAAAAGUGAGAUGAUAAUCUCACGAUAUGCGAAUACCGGGUAGGAUUGUGGGAGUGCGUAGCACGGAACAAUCCGUAGGCAUC